UCUUCUUGAUUUUUUUCUUUUUGUCAUCUUGGUCUUUUGAUGUUUUGUAAAAUGUCAUUAAAAUCUAAAAGAAACAAUUGAAAACGAAACAAAAGAAAAAGGAAAUGUUAGUUAAUUUGCUUGAUACAAGGUCUGUUCCAAGAUAGUUUAUCAGUUAAUGCAGAUUGCAGCGUUUUGUUGGGCUGAUUUGGGGAAAAAUACACAUUAACCGCAGAGUUAAUUCAAGACCAGUACAUGAAAUGUUGUCAAAUUAUCAUAAAACCAAAGCUUUUAUGUCAUUUACGAUUGCUCGAGGACUUAAAGUAGCAUCAACUUUAAAUAUUCCUUCGGAAUCAUCAAUCUGCAACAAGUCUAGCUGCGAUUGCAAAAGAGUAGCUGGCAUGAAAUGCUUUCCUUCUGCAGCUCUUUUAUUUAGCCGCUCAGCAAGCACCUCAGCCUUGGCAUCAAGCAAUACAAACUUAGCUGCACUGACAUAGCUUCCAAGUUCAUAACUAGGGUCAGCAGAUCUAAGAAUUUCUCGAUAUUGCUUCUGGAGAGAAGAACAGCCAAGUAUAACAGUUUUUCCACCAGCUAACCUCUCUCUUAAGGCAUCCCGUAGACUUUCAAGCCAUGGAAUCCGGUCUUUAUCUGAUAGAGGAAUGCCUUGAUGCAUUUUUUCUGUAGUGUUGAAAAAUGCCAAUUCCAAAACUUUCAGUUGAGAGGGAUCAGAGAAGUCACUAUAUAUGAAGUGAAAAGGGGUUCAUCCAAUAGGGAAACAACUAAAUAUUACAAUAACUAGAUGUCAAUACCUUUGUUUGAUUGUGAGUGAAAAUCAUCGGCAUCGAGAAAACUACAAUUCAAUACUUUGGCCAGCAUCUCACCUAUUGUGCUGUUAAAGGUACCAAGAUCAAAAUAUAAAAAAACUACUAAGAGUGUCAUAUACACAGUGAACAGGAAAAAAGAAAUUGCACUGAAGAAUUGACUUCAGGGGGAAAACAGGCAAUCAUGAGGAUAGUAAACAUGUAGAACUAUAAAAGAAUCGAAUGUGGAUAGAACUUACGAUUUGCCAGCACCACUGACACCCAUAAUUACGAUAACUUUGCCUAUAAAUUGGAAAAAAAAAUUAGUGACCAAGAACUAGAAAGUGGAGAGUUGAUGAGCAAUUCAAAUAAUUGCAUAUAAAAUAAGGGAAAGAAACUAGUAGAAAAUGAAAUUUAUUUCAAACACAAAGGAAAAUUGACAAACGAAUAAUUUACCUUUGAGAGCAGGAGCCAUAUUUGGUCCACAGCUUAGUCAAACCUAUGAAGCUUUAGUAGCAAUAAAAAUAUGCAGCUCCAAAGAACUAACACUGAGAACAGAUCCUGUCUUUACCUAUGAAUGCCGCUUAGUAAAUAGAAUGAAAAAGGUCAGUUUCUG
rnacentral:misc_RNA from 1 species